rnacentral:tRNA from 1 species
GAGGGCAUAGCUCAGUGGUAGAGCAUGUGCUCAGCUUGCACGAGGUUUGGGUUCAACCCCCAGCACCCCCA